GGCGCGCCCGCCCAACGGUCCCAACGGUCCCAACGGACACUCGCUGAGGGGGCGCCGGCCCCGAAGGGCACGGCACUCUUCAGCAGGGCUCAGGGGGGACCUGGUGGCUGCCCAUAAACACCGCAGGGGCGUCCGCCAGAGCGCCCCGAGGGAUGACCAAGGACCAGCGGCCAUACAUAAGCUCCUCCAAGACCGUUGUAGGCUGGACGUCAGGAAACAGCCUGCCUGGAACAGACUCCUGCGGAGUUUGUGGGUACUGCAUCAUCGGUGACUGAGUCACAGGCCUCAAGAGAAUUCAGGCACAUUGUUAUGACAGAUCAUUUCCCAAGGAGCAGCUGUUGGAGAGGAACUGAUCCACUGUUCAAUAAAACCAAAAUCUAUCCAUGCAUCACUCGGAUGAAACAAAAGGAACGAUCUGAUGACAAGUUCACAGGACACCCAAUUUAUGGGCCAGCAUGGUCGAAUCUACAGAGGGCUGUACAAAACUAGUCUUCACCCAGUACUUGUAUCCCUUGGUGCCCACACAUGAAGGAAACCCCUUUGUAGUUCACGUUGGGAUUGCUGUUACUGGCAGGCACAAAUUUGUAAAGCUGGCAGCAUGCACAGUUAUGCACUUUUCCUUCCAUAGCUAUUUGAGGAAACACAGGGGAGAGACUUAUUUUUAGCCACACAAACAAAAGCCAAUUGCGUGAGAGAGUUCUGGGAGACAAAGAAGCAAGUCACCUGGAAACGCUGCAUGGACAAGCACCAUUUUGAGAUUGCAUAAGCUUUAAUUCCUGAACAAUGCCUCUCUGUGCUGCAGGUCUCAAAAACACCCCCUCCAAACAGCUGUAGCUUCCGAGUGCCAUCUGCUGGCUAGAUGGCUGCACAUUUGCAGACCUCCAUAUUGUUGUAUAUGGUGCAGAAACAAUCUACAGGCAGGAAGCUACGGGUUUCCAUGGAUGCCAAAUCAAGGAGCUAAACCAUAGCAAAUAAAGUGGUUAUUCAGUAAAUGGUGGUCCUUUUUAAACCGGGUACAAUUUAUGUCCAGGUUGCUGAACAGUCUAGUUCAU